rnacentral:lncRNA from 10 species
UAGUAUGCAUUUACUAACACCACAUCUCACCCCCACGAAACUUGGUAAGGGCAGCAACAGAACUUUAUCUGCCAUAUGCACUCCUGUAUUCCUAUUACCAAAUAGUGCCAGGGACUAAGUGAAUAUUUGUCCAAUGAAUGAGUUUUAAGUAGGAAACGUUUGCAUAGAAUCAUUUUGUUUCUUUUGGAGUUCAAAUCUUCGGAUAUUUUACCCUUCCCAAUCCAAAGAAAAGUCUCUGAGUGAAGAGAUGGGAACAAAAUGAAGAGGAAGACAGAGCUCUUACCAGGGGGAGGCAGAGAUGGCACAGCAAGAGACAUGCCCCCAGAAUGCCACCAAUGCCCCAGGACAGGCCCACCCAUGGGACCAGAUCAUCUUUGUAACAAGAAGAAAACCAACCAAAUGAAAAUGAAAUGAAUUCUCUCAAAAAGAAUUAAGUCAAGACAGGAAGAAGGCUCGCAAAGUAAUAUAAAAUAUAUCUUAUGGUUUAUGGAAAAUUCUUAAUAAAAUACCUUCUUUGCUCCAA